rfam:Oryza meridionalis cultivar OR44 (W2112) chromosome 4, whole genome shotgun sequence.
UUUAAGUUUAACCAUAAGUUUUCGCGUCUAAUUCUGAUCGUCCGUCUUAUUUAAAAUUUUUUUAUUAAUAUUUUUGUUGUUAUGAGAUGAUAAAAUAUGAAUAGUAUUUUACUCCUGACUUGUGUUUUUAAUUUUUUUUUAAAAAAUAAAUAAGACAGACGGUUAAAGUUGGACACGGAAAAUUAUGCCUGCAAUUAAA